GGUUCCGUGGCGUAGUUGGUUAUCGUAUCACGCUUACACCGUGAAGGUCAUCGGUUCGAAUCCGGUCGGAAUCA